rnacentral:rRNA from 1 species
CGGAUUGGAGUCUGCAACCCGACUCCAUGAAGCUGGAUUCGCUAGUAACCGCGCAUCAGCCACGGCGCGGUGAAUACGUUCCCGGGCCCUUGUACACACCGCCCGUCAAGCCAUGGAAGCCGGGAGUGCCUGAAGUGCGUGAGCGCAAGCAGCGCCCUAAGGUAAAACCGGUGACUGGGGCUAAGUCGUAACAAGGUAGC